UAGGGAAUCUUCCGCAAUGGACGAAAGUCUGACGGAGCAACGCCGCGUGAGUGAAGAAGGAUUUCGGUUCGUAAAACUCUGUUGUUAGGGAAGAAAAAAUGUAUAGUAACUAUAUACAAAAGAGACGGUACCUAACCAGAAAGCCACGGCUAACUACGUGCCAGCAGCCGCGGUAAUACGUAGGUGGCAAGCGUUGUCCGGAAUUAUUGGGCGUAAAGCGCGCGCAGGUGGUUUAGAAAGUCUGAUGUGAAAGCCCACGGCUCAACCGUGGAGGGUCAUUAGAAACUAAUAAACUUGAGUGCAGGAGAGAAAAGUGGAAUUCCUAGUGUAGCGGUGAAAUGCGUAGAGAUUAGGAGGAACACCGGUGGCGAAAGCGGCUUUUUGGCCUGCAACUGACACUGAGGAGCGAAAGCGUGGGGAGCAAACAGG
rnacentral:rRNA from 1 species